rnacentral:lncRNA from 1 species
CUCAGACUGAAGUUGUCUUCCUAUUGGCUGUAACUGCAGCUUGGUGGGUUCAUUGGUGUGAUUCAUUUCUCCUAAAUUUAGCUGCCUAAAUAGUAGGCAUCUCAUCUGAACCAGUCAUCAAGCUUAGCCUCAAAAUUAGUCAUCAGAGAUAAGCAGCUCAACAGGUCAGUCUGACCUGUGCUGUGUUAGGGAGGGUUCUAGCAGAGACUGGGAGUUCCACCUCAGGCCUUGGGGACUUUCAACUCUGCUUCUCUGCUGCGUUUGCAUCAGCAUAUCCAUCCCUUCUUUCUCUAUAUAGUGGACCAAAUGACAAAUACAGCUGCUGUGCACUUGUGGUACUGAGGACAUGUCCUAUCUGAGGGGGAAAAAAUGUGAAGAAAUUUUC